rnacentral:rRNA from 1 species
UACGUAGGCAGCAAGCGUUGUUCGGAGUUACUGGGCGUAAAGGGUGCGUAGGCGGUCCUAUAAGUAUGGUGUGAAAUCUCCCGGCUUAACUGGGAGGGUGCGCUAUAGACUGUGGGACUAGAGUGUGGGAGAGGAAAGUGGAAUUCCUGGUGUAGCGGUGAAAUGCGUAGAUAUCAGGAGGAACACCGGUGGUGUAAACGGCUUUCUGGAUCAUAACUGACGCUGAGGCACGAAAGCGUGGGUAGCAAACAGG